UCUUGGUUUGCGGGGUGGAGCGACUCCCCUGCGCUCUGUUUUCCCAGGAGAACUGGAAGGUAAAAGUUCGCGAUAGUUGGAAGUGUCGCGAGGCUGCAAACCCAGGAACAUUAGGAGGCGAGCGCUUCCCUCCGGGGUGCUGCUUCAGCCCCUGAGACGCUGACGCCUCGGGGACCCACGCGGGAGGCUGAUUGAACUGAGCGCAUUUUUCUUGUCAUACACUAA